rnacentral:lncRNA from 1 species
ACACCAUGGAUAUCAUUUUUCGAAUGACCCUAAUGCAUUAUUUCAUGUACCUGCAGUUCAACUUUAGAGUCGUCCGAAAAAUGCAACGAAAGAAAAAAAAAUUAACCAAAUAUGCUUAGAAAAGUCAAAGUUGUCUCAAAAUUUGAUAGUGAGUUUGAAUUACUGUAGAAAGGUAAAAAAACUAGGGCAAAAACAAACAAAAAUAUAAAAUUAAAUUGCCUGGUGCCUUCAAAGACACCAGGCAAAUAAAUGUUUGCCUGGUGCCAUGGAACAAGGCACUAGGUAAAGAAUAACGGCAAAUCGCGCCGUCCACGGGCCC